CAAACUAGAGCUCGAAGAGUGUUUUAUUUACAUUAAAAAGGUUAUUGGGACCAAUAUAGUUUGA
rnacentral:tRNA from 1 species